rnacentral:rRNA from 1 species
UACAGAGGGUGCGAGCGUUUAAUCGGAAUUACUGGGCGUAAAGCGUGCGUAGACGGUUAUCUAAGUCGGAUGUGAAAGCCCCCGGGCUCAACCUGGGAAUUGCAUUCGAGACUGAAUAGCUAGGGUGCGGUAGAGGGAAGCGGAAUUUCCGGUGUAGCGGUGAAAUGCGUAGAUAUCGGGAGGAACACCAGUGGCGAAGGCGGCUUUCUGCCCGUUGUUGACGCUGAGGGCGCGAAAAGCUAG